GGUUCGGUAGUGUAGUGGUUAUCACGCUCGCCUGACACGCGAGAGGUCCUAGGUUCGACCCCCACCCGAACCA